GGAUACUACACAGAGCUUCGGGUUAAAGAUGAAGCCUCCGUAAGAAUCAACAGUCCCGAGACGACACGGGUCAGUUCUUGAAAAAUGUAAAUGACAAGUUAUGCAAACUUUUUGGCUACUAACUGGUUAGGUUAUGUGACUACAGCUGAAUCAAGCGAUGAUGGUAGAUCCUAAUUAUCCCUUAGCGAGUUGGGUCUAGGAUGU
rnacentral:misc_RNA from 1 species